UUUCAUUCUGUGGUGCUUCUCAGUGAAGCAGGGCCUGGUCGGGGGGUAAGCAGCGCUGUGGUGAGCAGAAUGGUCUGCUGGUUAAGGAGCUAUGUUAGUGUUCCAGAGCAAAGGAAAUCCUGGAGAAGUGCUCUCAAGGGGAACUUAUGAAAAGACAUCCCCGAGGAUUCUGACCUGUCCUGCUGAGCGAGGUGGUCUCCUCAUUGAGUUACAGAACUGUGGUCCUGGUCCUUGGACAAAACUGAUCACGUGAACAAUGUUUGGGGGAAAGGACAUGGAGCUGUGGUCCUUCAAAACACAUCAGCAGUCGGGUUCCUGCAAAUCACAGCCACCCAGGACACUACCACUGGGUAAUGAUAGAGGCUUCCGGAGGCCGGGCAUCGCUGUCACAAACUCCCUCAGGGAGGAUUUGAGGGCAGAGCAAGCCCCCAGUUCAGGACCCAUUUUCUCUUUACACACAACUCUAAGAA